rnacentral:snoRNA from 1 species
GGAAAGUGAUGAACAAAAUUGGUCCGUGUUUCUGAACUAUCCGUGACAGAAACCUAAACCACUUUUCUGAUUCC